AGUGAACGCUGGCGGUAGGCCUAACACAUGCGAGUCGAACGGCAGCACAGGAGAGCUUGCUCUCUAGGUGGCGAGUGGCGGACGGGUGAGGAAUACAUCGGAAUCUGCCCAGUCGUGGGGGAUAACGUAGGGAAACUUACGCUAAUACCGCAUACGACCUUCGGGUGAAAGAGGGGGAUCGCAAGACCUCUCGCGAUUGGAUGAGCCGAUGUCGGAUUAGCUAGUUAGCGGGGUAAUGGCCCACCAAGGCGACGAUCCGUAGCUGGUCUGAGAGGAUGAUCAGCCACACUGGAACUGAGACACGGUCCAGACUCCUACGGGAGGCAGCAGUGGGGAAUAUUGGACAAUGGGCGCAAGCCUGAUCCAGCCAUACCGCGUGGGUGAAGAAGGCCUUCGGGUUGUAAAGCCCUUUUGUUGGGAAAGAAAUCUUUCAGGCUAAUACCCUGGGAGGAUGACGGUACCCAAAGAAUAAGCACCGGCUAACUUCGUG
rnacentral:rRNA from 1 species